CUUCUUCUGAUUUUGAUUCUGGGUUGCAGGCUGCUUUGGUUCAAGGGUACGUUUUUGCUGUGAGCGUCCUUAGUUUCUGUAUCAUUGCUCACUGAUAGUGCGCUAAAAGACGUGAGCAUCCCACCGGGACCAAGGCUACUGAUACUUCAAAUCAAAGCUCCAUGUAGAUGGAGUAGGGGUCAUUGGUUUGAGACUAAGAGCAUGUACAACCCAAAAACCCAUUAUGGGUAUCAUAACUAAUUUUUAAUAGUAAUUGUGUGCUAAGAGAUUUGGCUAAGAGACGGCGGUAUUUAAUGUGUUCCAAUGCUAGUUUCUUAAUUAAGGAUUCUUAGAAAUUAAAAAUUAAUAAACUUAAAAAAAUAAAUUAAUUCUUAAAUAAAAAAUAUUAAAAGAUAACAUUUUAAAUAUUGAUUUAUAAAUAAAA